AAUAAAAGGUUGUCUUUAAUUUUAAACUACGACUGUUAUCCUGUUUUAAUGUCACCUUGCAAACCACAUUGCUUGUGUUAUACGCUCACAUUUAACGUGGACAUUUGUUGUCAUCGGCGUUCAAUGAUGGUCCACAAUCCAGUCUAUCAUCUAUGUCAGAUCUGUGAGAUCAAAGUUUAUUUCGGAUCAACUUGCCAGUGGUGCAAGACAAGGACAUCCCUCUAGUCUUUCGGAUGCAAAGGGCACCACCCCAGGAUCCACUACUGCCACAAGUAACAAAGUCAUCCAAAUUCCAGUCCUUCAGGUUUAAAGGGGAGCAUUUGAUCCUGCAUAUAUUUAAGCAUCUCAUAAUACCAAUAAAAAUAAUCAGCAAAGAAGGUGAUGACUGGUAGUGUUAACAUAAAUAUAUGAAAAAUGGAAGUUUUCAGUGAAAAAUUGGGAGAACUGGUAAAUUUAUAUCUUGAUUUACAGCGUAAUUUAACAUGGAAAGAUGUAGUUUUAUACUCAAGUGUUCCUGUUAUUACAUGGUAUACUUAUAGAAUAUUGAUACAACCAUUCUUAUCUCCUCUUAGAAAGAUUCCAGGAAGGCCAUAUGUACCUAUUGUUGGUAACAUGUUUGAAGCAUUACAGAAAGAAGCAAUGUCAAAUACAAUUGAGUAAGUAACUGAAUAGACAAACAACUUUAUUUGUAUGAAUUAUCAGCUCAGAGUUCUGUUAACCCUUUAGAUACCAUAUCAUCUUGAUCGUUUGCUACUUUUGAUAUUACCAAAUCGAACUGAUUGAUCGCCCCUGAAUUGACAGAG